GCAAUCAAUGGAAAAAUGGCGGCUGCCGCUCUCGCGAGAAUUCAGCGCAGUGGGCGCGCGGCCCGGCGCCUGGCGCCUGGCGGAGGUACGCCGGCGGCCGUCGCGAGCCCGGGAUCUUCUCGCUUCUUGCUCAGCCUCGGGGUACGCAGCGCUGCGCUGGUUGAGGGCCGGUGUAGGCGCUUUUCAUUACCGGGAAGCCGGUCCUCCCAGCCGCCGGCUCCCUCUGUCGGCCGAGGGAGGGACCAGGCCCCUGCGUCACGGACGGGCUCCAGUUCAAAGCCCCCCCUUUCAACCCUACAGUCCGACUCUUCCCUCUUGCUAAGCGCGGCCACUGCAGCCCCUCUUCGGGAACCUUUGGCCUCUAACUGGUGGGCUGCAGUGCUGGGGGACUUUUCAAACAUGCAGGAGGCUCUGAAUUCGAUCCCUACUACCUUCUCCCAGAAGUCAACAAACAACAAAAUAAAAACAAAAAUCCAGAUAGACUAAAAAUUCUUCAAAUACACUACUCAGAUUUCUGAAAAGGCCAAAGAAAUUCUACCUUCAUGUUUAAGUUAUCAUCUAAGGUUGUCACUCAAGGUCUUUCACAAAACAAUACAAGUCAUUGUAUCUCACCUAGCAAUAUAGGCUGUAGACAGACUGUGGCCUCUGAACUUCAGCCCUCAUCACCAUUUGGUGCACAGCAAACAUUUAAGGAAGUCCUGUUUCUAUUGCACCACAGUCUAUGAGGUGUCAUAAAUCCCACAAUGUCUCAUUUGAUUCAAUUACAGAAGCCUUAAAGUUUAUUAUGCCUUUGAACAUAAGGCUCUUGGGAAGAUAAAAAUACAGUGAGUAAAACUUAGAGGGUAGUGUCUUUUUUGUUUUUGUUUUUGUUUUUUUUUUUUUUUAGUAAUUAAAACUUUAUUGCAAAGAAUUGAAAAUAAAGAACAUAACAUAGCAGGAUUAGGCAAAACCAAAGUCUCCACAUGUCAAAGGACUAGGAGAGUUAGAAGAGCCGUUCAAAGCUGGGCUUUGUAGUGCGCUCUGCAUUUGCACUGUAGAUUAUAUUUUUAUGCACCUGUCUAACAUACACACACACACACACACACACACACACACACACACCCCAUAACAGAAUCAAAACUAGAAAAACAAUUAGGCUUAUACCCUCUCUUGUGGCUCAUGUGUCCUUUACUUGCAUCCUGUCCUUCCUCAUCCGCUAGUAUUUACCUUUUCUUGAUAUCCUUUUUACAUGUUGUACUAUAUACUCAUUUAUACAUUUAUAUAUAUAUAUAUAUAUAUACACAUAAGUAUACAUAUAUAUAUAUAUACAUAUAUAUAUACACAUAUACUUAUACAUACACACAUAUGUAUAUAAAUGUGAGGGAGGACAUUGGUAUUUUUCUGAGAUUGUGUGGCCUCAGUUAAUACACAAUCUAAGUCUAACCAUUUUUCUGAAAGCUUUAUGACAUCAUUUCUAUUUAGAGUUAAAUUUUAUAUGUGUACCAGAUUGUUAUCAACAGUCCUCUGUUGAUGGUCAACCAGCUUGGUUCCACUUCCUUGCUGUUGUGAAUAAGCAAUAAUGAACAUGGAGUACAAGUAUGUCUAUGGUAGCUUCCUUAGUUCCUUUUCUAUUGCUGUGAUAAAACAGCACAACCAAGUCACCUGAUAAAAGUAAGAGUUGAACAUGGUUUAUGGUUCCAGAGGGUUAGAGUGCAUGAUGGCCCAGUGAGAGAACAGCUGAGAAUCAACAUUUUAAUUUACAACCACAAGGGAGAAAGAGAUCACCAGGAAUUGCAUAAGCCUUUUGAAACCUCAAAGCUUACCUGUGACACACAUUCUACAGCAAAGCCACACCUCCUAAUCCUCUCU